GUGUGUGUGUGUGUGUGUGUAUAUAUGUGUGUGUAUAUAUAUAUAUAUAUAUAUAUAUAUAUAUAUACGUACACACACACAUACACUCACUG